rnacentral:rRNA from 1 species
GACGAACGCUGGCGGCGUGCUUAACACAUGCAAGUCGAACGGAAAGGCCCUGCUUGCAGGGUGCUCGAGUGGCGAACGGGUGAGUAACACGUGGGUGAUCUGCCCCUUAUUUUGGGAUAAGCCUGGGAAACUGGGUCUAAUACUGGAUAGGACCAUGCUGUAGGUGGUGUGGUGGAAAGAUUAGUUUCGGUAAGGGAUGAGCUCGCGGCCUAUCAGCUUGUUGGUGGGGUAAUGGCCUACCAAGGCGUCGACGGGUAGCCGGCCUGAGAGGGUGGACGGCCACAUUGGGACUGAGAUACGGCCCAGACUCCUACGGGAGGCAGCAGUGGGGAAUAUUGCACAAUGGGCGCAAGCCUGAUGCAGCGACGCCGCAUGGGGGAUGACGGCCUUCGGGUUGUAAACUCCUUUCAGCCAUGACGAAGCCCUUGUGGUGACGGUAGUGGUAGAAGAAGCACCGGCUAACUACGUG